AUGUUCACUGUUAUAUUCAUGUGUCUGUGGCUUUCACUAGGUGACUCCAUGGCAGAUUCAAUACAGCCACUUUCCCCUCGUGAAGUUGUAGAUGAAGGUGUUAAUGUUACUCUGUCCUGCAGCUACAAAAAAUUCAGUGCUACCGUAAACAACCUGCAGUGGUACAGACAAUAUCCAGAAUCUAAACCUGAGUUCCUUCUGUACAUCACUCCAAGUGGAUUUCAAAGUGAUCCUAUUUCACCACGUCUGUCUGCUAAAGUUCCUGGAGAUAAACAAGUGGAUCUGCUCAUCUCCUCUGCUGCUGUAUCAGACUCUGCACUAUACUACUGUGCUCUG